rnacentral:lncRNA from 1 species
ACUCAUUAACAAUAUAAAGUAAAGACCUAAAGUCUUUUGAUUUAAGGUCCUUGGUUUAUGACCUUGAAAUUGAGCUCAAGGUCAUAUGUUAAUUUAACGUUCUAGAUUUUGACCUUUGCUUUUACCUCAUAUGUAUUCAUGUUAAAGCUAUUAGACUUUUUGCAUUAGGUUGCAAGCACUAUGACGUUGAAAAAGUUAACCGGAAGUGACAUUUUGUAAACCGGAAGUAGCUAUUUUUUGUAAUAAAUUAUUGUCAAAGUAUGUAAAACCAUAUAUUUUUGGAAUCAGCGUCAAGUAAACUAUAAGACAGUACCGGAAGUAACAUAUUUUGAACCGGAAGUAGACAAUUAUCUCCUUUAUUUAUAUCUUUUUGUAU